rnacentral:rRNA from 1 species
UACGAAGGGGGCUAGCGUUGUUCGGAAUUACUGGGCGUAAAGCGCGCGCAGGCGGUUUUUCAAGUCAGGGGUGAAAGCCCGGAGCUCAACUCCGGAACUGCCAUUGAAACUGUAAAACUUGAGGACGAGAGAGGUGAGUGGAAUUCCCAGUGUAGAGGUGAAAUUCGUAGAUAUUGGGAAGAACACCGGUGGCGAAGGCGGCUCACUGGCUCGUAUCUGACGCUCAGGCGCGAAAGCGUGGGGAGCAAACAGG